rnacentral:misc_RNA from 1 species
UCAAUCAUCUGCUGCUUGGUGGCACCCUCACCACCAGGCUUGUCCAUGACAAUGAGCCAGUGCUCAUAGUCACAUCCAGGGAAAAGAGGCGCCAUCUCAGUGGGAGGACGAUCACUGAAGUUGGAAUUAGAGUUAAGGGGAGAGUAAGACGAGUUACCUGAGCGAUUGACGUGGCAACGACUCGAGGUUAACCUGGAGGCGGAAGGGAUGGAUCGAACGGCAUGAGAAAGCGGAGGGAGAGAUCGACGGCAGAGAAUGAGAGAAGGGGGUGAAGGAGGAUGUGUAAGAGUAGUUGAGGAGGAGAAGAGGCGUCUGUGAAGAAGAGAGAGGCGGGCGGUGGAGGUGGAGGCGGAAGCCAUAGCUCGAAGAAGGGAUAACGCCAUAGCAGGCGAGAGAGGAAGGGUUUUUUG